GGCGUGGUGGUGCCCAGGAUCCACGACACGUGACGGCUGCGGAGCACGACAGCCCUAAGACCUUGAGGGAGACGGGGUGGCGCGUGAAUCCUUUCGGAACGAGAACGACAGGAAACGCUGACGGGGACGUGUUCUCGUCUCGAGAACACACCAACGCCUCGCACGGUGUCUGACCCGGGGUGCCUCUGACUUUUGUCAUCAGAGAAGAUCCUGUCGACCGCCCCUCACGCUUUGGGGAAAAGGGGAGAGGGACUCGGUAGCACGGGAGAAGCCAUCCAUCCGCCCUUCCUUUCCGUCUUCACGGCUCCUUCUCGUGGAAAACGAGGAAGCCGUCCGGAGGAACGGAACACUGACCCGGGCCAAAGCGUGGCCCAGCCUGAGCCUCCAAAACCUUCUGCUAAGUGAGAGGUGCCAGACAUCCAAGGCGACCUACGUUGCGAUUCCACACAGAGGAGAGAGCUAGAACGGUCCAACCCUAGAGGGCGACAGCAGAUGGCGGCGGUGGUGGUGGUCGUGGUGAGGCAGAUCCGGGAGUGGGGCCGUUUUUUCUUUCGGAGGGAGGGGAUGGAAACGGAAACCUUCUGGAAAUAGAUAGCCGUGACGGAUGCGCCACCUUGGGGAGGAGACUCCCGAAGGCCACUGGCUUGUGCCCCGUGGAAAGGAUGGAUUCGGUGGGAUGGGAAUUCUACCUCCGUGUAGAGCGUGUGGUAAACCACGAGGUGGGUGGGUGGGUGGAUGGCCUCCCUGCCUCGCCUCCACCUAGACGUCCACACACAGAGACCGACGAGGGAGGGAGGGAGGGAGAGAGACAAGGUGGACAGAGGCCAAGGCCGAGGCCGAGGCAGUGAGCGAGUAAGUGAUCGACCCUGGCCAUAGGGAUUCCUCAGAGGGCGUCUCUUGGCUCCCCAAACGAAGAAUGUGUGUGGAGAUCGAGAAAGAUCACCGACCUAGGAGAACCAGCAAGACUUCCUCACCCUCCAGAGAGCCGCUGGGCCCCUGCCGUCCCUGCCACCGCCACCCCUACCCCUCGCCUUUGGCAGCGACGCCAACGAAAGGCAGGCAGACGAGUGGGAGAGUCGUGUGGUGGUGUCCCCCAAGGAAGAAAACAAGGGCCGGGGGCCGAGCCCGUGGACGAGCGGUCAAGUACGCGCCCCCACCCCGACCCCCGGCUUCGACGGCCCAGGUUUUCACCGGUUCGGAUCCUGGGCGCAGCCCCAGACCCAGCAUCGCCCUUCAAGCCCACAUAGCAGAAACCCGAAAGACCUACCACUGGAACCUACAACUAUGGAUGGACGGGACGGGACGGGACGGGGCGGGGCGGGGCGGGGCGGGGGAAGAAAGAAAAAAUAAAAGAAACACAAGGACGGUCAUCGCGAUAGUUCUUUCCACUUCCAUCCAUAUGUUAACAGGACCCAAGUUUCCCGACCUCCAUUUGGAUGUAUGUUAACUAAAUGGAGAAGCUAUUCAAAGGACUCCUCUAAAGAAGUCCACGUUCUUCUUUCUAAAUGAUAAUGAAAAUCAUUGUCACCACCGCUCUUCCGACCCUCCAUGUCCAGACGGCCUCCCGCCCCUCCCCCAUCCCCAACUCCCGCCCCGCCCCGCCCCGCGCCGACCCCCGCCCCCCCCCCCCCGGCAUUCGCCCCGCCCACCUUUCCCUCUCCACUCCUACCCCCCCCCCCCGCCGCCCGGGACACCACCCCCCGCACCCCC
ensembl:lncRNA